rnacentral:tRNA from 2 species
GGGCGCAUAGCUCAAUGGUAGAGCAACUGGCUCUUAACUAGUAGGUUGCAGGUUCGAAUCCUGCUGCGCCCACCA